rnacentral:rRNA from 1 species
UACGUAGGGAGCAAGCGUUGUCCGGAAUCAUUGGGCGUAAAGCGCGUGUAGGCGGCUCGAUAAGUCUGCUGUGAAAGUCCAGGGCUCAACCCUGGAAUGCCGGUGGAUACUGUCGAGCUCGAGUCCGGAAGAGGCGAGUGGAAUUCCUGGUGUAGCGGUGAAAUGCGCAGAUAUCAGGAGGAACACCAAUGGCGAAGGCAGCUCGCUGGGACGGUACUGACGCUGAGACGCGAAAGCCAGGGGAGCAAACGGG